GCAAGUGACUAACAACAAGGGCUGCUCUAAGGUAAGCCAGGUGCAGAGGAAAGAGCGAGCAAAGGGUGUGUAUCGUGGUGGAGCGUCGAGGGGCCAUCCUGGAAGACUUCCUGGAGGAGGAAACAAGCCACGCCAGCCAAGUGCCCGGACCAGUCCUGCUCUCCUGAACCCCACGCCGUGACUCCCAUGGCCCGCAGCCAGCCCUCCAGGGCCCCGAGCAGAGGCUCCUUCUCCGUCUUGGACUUUGGACACGGUGCACAGCUGCCCAGGAUGAGGACUUCUAAGACCUAAGAGACAAUGACUUUCAAGCCUUCCUCCUGUUUGGAUCACGUGCUCUCUACUACGAAACACUUGAGCCAUAACAGUAUAUUGUGUUGUUAUUCACAGAUUAUAAAUUUCCAUGACUAUA